CAGACCCCGGCCGCCGCUCCAGCGCCCCUGGGCUGCCGUGGCCGCCGCUACUGAGGCUGCGGCUACAGCUARCGCGGCGGCUCCUCACAAAAUGGCGGCGCCCAUGGAAGCGGCAGCCCCAUUUUGUGCCCGGCUGAGCCUGUCAACAAAACGCCGACUUGGCCAAGGCUGAGGAACAGAAGGCGGCGGCUCGUUCGCAUUACAGAGAGCGGAGGGAGGAGAGCGAAGGAUUUCACCGCCCUCCCGCCGCCGAGAGGAGACUUUCUAUAAAGUUGCAUGCCUUAUGAAUAAGCCGGCUAUUAGGCUGAUGCUUCAAGUUACACUAUCCAGCACCAAGGAAAUAACAGAUGGAAAAAUGGAUUACAUAAACACUGUUGUAAAUAUGCCAAAAAUACUUGCUUCAUUUCCUAGGGUAUUGCACCUGUAACAUGGAUUGGGGCCUGAAUGGUGGAAAAUAUUUUGAGAUUCUAACAAGUAUUGGUCUGCAGCACAGUAAAAGUAAUGGAUAUCCUGAUGGCAAACUGGUGCAAGUUUUUUUAAAAGGAAAACAUGUUUGCAGUCAAUAAAUGACCUGACUGAAGCA
rnacentral:lncRNA from 1 species